UUCCAGAUUCUUCUUCUUCUUCCUCCAUCACCUAAUCUUCUUCAACCUCUAACAACUGAACCAAGCCUCUCUUCAAUUCCUUCAACAACCGUAACAAACUCACAAAACCGUUAAUCACCACUUCAACCUCCUCUUUCUUCUUCAAAGAACCACUAUCGCUAUCGAAUCCAACCCUCACCAACCACCACCGUGAUCCAAUUUCUUCAUUCGUCACCCUCCGU
rnacentral:lncRNA from 1 species